rnacentral:rRNA from 1 species
UACGAAGGGGGCUAGCGUUGUUCGGAAUUACUGGGCGUAAAGCGUGCGCAGGCGGCUUCUCAAGUCAGGGGUGAAGGCCCAGAGCUUAACUCUGGAAUUGCCUUUGAGACUGAGAGGCUUGAGUACGGGAGAGGUGAGUGGAAUUCCCAGUGUAGAGGUGAAAUUCGUAGAUAUUGGGAAGAACACCGGUGGCGAAGGCGGCUCACUGGCCCGUAACUGACGCUCAUGCACGACAGCGUGGGGAGCAAACAGG